rnacentral:rRNA from 2 species
UCGAACGGGAUCCUUCGGGAUUUAGUGGCGGACGGGUGAGUAACGCGUGAGAAUCUGCCCUUAGGUUGGGGACAACAGUUGGAAACGACUGCUAAUACCCAAUGUGCCGAGAGGUGAAAGGUUAACUGCCUGGGGAUGAGCUCGCGUCUGAUUAGCUAGUUGGAGUGGUAACGGCACACCAAGGCGACGAUCAGUAGCUGGUCUGAGAGGAUGAUCAGCCACACUGGGACUGAGACACGGCCCAGACUCCUACGGGAGGCAGCAGUGGGGAAUUUUCCGCAAUGGGCGAAAGCCUGACGGAGCAAGACCGCGUGAGGGAGGAAGGCCUAUUGGUUGUAAACCUCUUUUGAUAGGGAAGAACACAAUGACGGUACCUAUCGAAUCAGCAUCGGCUAACUCCGUGCCAGCAGCCGCGGUAAUACGGAGGAUGCAAGCGUUAUCCGGAUUUAUUGGGCGUAAAGCGUCCGUAGGUGGCAAACCAAGUCAGUUGUUAAAGCGUAGAGCUUAACUCUAUAAGGGCAAUUGAAACUGGUUAGCUAGAGUGCGAUAGGGGCAAGGGGAAUUCCCAGUGUAGCGGUGAAAUGCGUAGAUAUUGGGAAGAACAUCGGUGGCGAAGGCGCCUUGCUGGGUCUGCACUGACACUGAGGGACGAAAGCUAGGGGAGCGAAAGGGAUUAGAUACCCCUGUAGUCCUAGCCGUAAACGAUGGAUACUAGGCGUUGUCCGU